rnacentral:rRNA from 1 species
UUGUCCAUCAUUCAGUUGGGCACUCUAGCGAGACUGCCGGUAUAACCGGAGGAAGUGGGGAUGACGUCAAAUCAUCAUGCCCCUUAUGACCUGGGCUACACACGUGCUACAAUGGUUGGUACAACGAGUUGCGAGUCGGUGACGGCGAGCUAAUCUCUUAAAGCCAAUCUCAGUUCGGAUUGUAGGCUGCAACUCGCCUACAUGAAGUCGGAAUCGCUAGUAAUCGCGGAUCAGCACGCCGCGGUGAAUACGUUCCCGGGCCUU